rnacentral:lncRNA from 1 species
UGCAAGCGUAUGCACACUGAGGAAAGGCUACUUGAGGACAAAAGAGAAAGCGGCCCAUCUACCAGCUGGGAAGAGAACCCUCACCACAAACCAAAUUGGCUGAAACCUUGAUCUUGGACUUCUGGCCUCCAGAAUUUUCCAGUGGCUAUAAUUCCAAGAUCAAGGUGUCAGCAGCAUGGUUCUUUCUGAGAGCUGUGAAGAAGAAUCUGUUCCAUGCCUCUCCCCCAGUUUCUGGUGGUGUGCUGGCAGUCUUUGGCAUUCUUUGGCCUGCAGACGCAUCACCCUAAUCUCAGCCCAGCUCCGGAACGCCUUUCCCAUGUUUGGUGUGUUUUCUACCUAAUGAGUUUUGAUGGAAGUGAAGGCUGUUAUUUACCUCUGGAAGCUAAAAAUACCAGCUCCCUGGUCAUCUCAGAGUUGGUUUCCGAUGCAACUAAAAACAUCAACUGAUAUGAGGUCCAAAAGAUGGAAUUUUAAGCACCAAAGACGCUCCCUUAUGGGCAAAGUCUCAAUAGGACAUCUGCAUGUUCAGUUGAGAUUCUGCUUUCCCCUCAGAUGAUAGAAUUAUUGGCAACCAGUUAAGUUGACGCAAUUGGAAACCCAGAAACAUGAUCAACAAAGAUAAGGAGAUGGAGAUACCAGUCACCCCUAUCAAAGUGGCAAGUGGGAGGGGGAUGCUGGUUGGUCUGUCGGAGCUGACGAAGGAAUGGGAUUGGAAUGUUUCUUUUACCAAUUAUGUAAACACAGCCUGGAGUUCCGAGAUGAGUCCAUCUCACUUGCUCAGAACUUUGCCUGGUGAGAGCGGUUACAAGCGAACAAGGUGGAAAUGAAAGAAACCCUGACUUUCCCACUAGGAAGGAAGAGACUGUUCCUUCUUGUGAUGUACUCUGAAGAAAAAUUCUAGGAUUUGGACAGAUUUCUCGGGUUAUAAAACAUGAUUUUCUUCUCUGUUUCUUGGGCUUUUAUAAUGGGUACUGUUGUUUUCUUGCAAAGCUUUAACGAUUCCAUAAGGACUUGUAUAAAGUUUAUGGGAGAAUUUUCAAUGUAGAUGUGAAUGGCAGAAACCCAAGAAUCUGUGUGAGGUUGAAUAAGAUCCUGUGUCUCCAGAGAGGUCUGAUGGGGAGACACAGAUCUAAAUUUUAAAGGUGGUUUGGGCCUUCUCAAUCAUAUAUUAAGGUCCUUUUAUGUUAUAGAUAAGUAAAUUAAGGCCCAGAAAGAUUAAUAGCCCAAGGUCCCAAGACCUGCUUGAGACCUGUGCCCCAUUCCUGACUAAUAUUCUUCAUGAUAUUAUAUCACUCUGUAUCAAAACCAACCAACCAAUAAAACCAACCAACCAACCAACCAACCAACCAACCAACCAACC